UUUGUAUAUUUCAAACUAGAAGAGAGGACUUAAAAUGUUAUCAGCCCAUAGAAAUGAUAGAUACUCGAGGUGAUAGAUACUCCAAAUAGCCUGACUUGAUCAUUACACAGUCUAUGCACGAAGAAAAUCCUCACAUGUACCCCAAAAAUAUGUAAAAUAUUAUAUAUCCAUAAAAGUCGAUGGAUGGAUGGAUGGAUGGAUGGAUGGAUGGAUGGAUGGAUACAUGGAUGGACACGUGGAUGGAUGGAUAAGUAAGUGGAUGAGUGAUAAUGAAUGGAAGAGUGAACUUUCAUUUAUGCAUAAUUAUUGAGAAGUGUGAUAUUCCAGCUAAUGUAAUACUCUGGUUUCUAUUCAACCUUCUAUUCCUAAUAUUAAUUAUUUUAAUAGGAUAAGAUAAAGUACAUUCAGCACUAAAGUGUAUC
rnacentral:lncRNA from 1 species